rnacentral:rRNA from 1 species
AACGAACGCUGGCGGCAUGCCUAACACAUGCAAGUCGAACGAGACCUUCGGGUCUAGUGGCGCACGGGUGCGUAACGCGUGGGAACCUGCCCUUAGGUUCGGAAUAACUCCCCGAAAGGGGUGCUAAUACCGGAUAAUGUCUUCGGACCAAGGAUUUAUCGCCUUUGGAUGGGCCCGCGUUGGAUUAGCUAGUUGGUAGGGUAAAAGCCUACCAAGGCGACGAUCCAUAGCUGGUCUGAGAGGAUGAUCAGCCACACUGGGACUGAGACACGGCCCAGACUCCUACGGGAGGCAGCAGUGGGGAAUAUUGGACAAUAGGCGAAAGCCUGAUCCAGCAAUGCCGCGUGAGUGAUGAAGGCCUUAGGGUUGUAAAGCUCUUUUACCCGGGAUGAUAAUGACAGUACCGGGAGAAUAAGCUCCGGCUAACUCCGUG